rnacentral:rRNA from 1 species
GAUGAACGCUGGCGGCGUGCCUAAUACAUGCAAGUCGAGCGAACGGACGAGAAGCUUGCUUUUCUGAUGUUAGCGGCGGACGGGUGAGUAACACGUGGGUAACCUACCUAUAAGACUGGGAUAACUUCGGGAAACCGGAGCUAAUACCGGAUAAUAUUUUGAACCGCAUGGUUCAAAAGUGAAAGACGGUCUUGCUGUCACUUAUAGAUGGAUCCGCGCUGCAUUAGCUAGUUGGUAAGGUAACGGCUUACCAAGGCAACGAUGCAUAGCCGACCUGAGGGGGUGAUCGGCCACACUGGAACUGAGACACGGUCCAGACUCCUACGGGAGGCAGCAGUAGGGAAUCUUCCGCAAUGGGCGAAAGCCUGACGGAGCAACGCCGCGUGAGUGAUGAAGGUCUUCGGAUCGUAAAACUCUGUUAUUAGGGAAGAACAUAUGUGUAAGUAACUGUGCACAUCUUGACGGUACCUAAUCAGAAAGCCACGGCUAACUACGUG